rnacentral:rRNA from 1 species
UACGUAGGAGACGAGCGUUGUCCGGAAUUACUGGGCGUAAAGCGCGUGUAGGCGGAUGAGCAAGUCUGCUGUGAAAGCUCCUGGCUUAACCGGGAGUGGUCGGUGGAAACUGCUCGUCUGGAGGACGGUAGAGGUAGGUAGAAUUCCCGGUGUAGUGGUGAAAUGCGUAGAGAUCGGGAGGAAUACCUGUGGCGAAAGCGCUCUGCUGGACCUUAACUGACACUGAGGGACGAAAGCUAGGGGAGCGAAUGGG